UGGGGAAUAUUGGACAAUGGGCGGAAGCCUGAUCCAGCAAUGCCGCGUGUGUGAAGAAGGCCUGCGGGUUGUAAAGCACUUUGAGUGGGAAAGAAGGGGCGAAAGUUAACACCUUUCGUCAUUGACGUUACCCACAGAACAAGCACCGGCUAACUCCGUGCCAGCAGCCGCGGUAAUACGGAGGGUGCGAGCGUUAAUCGGAAUUACUGGGCGUAAAGCGCGCGUAGGCGGCUUGCCAAGUCCGACGUGAAAUCCCCGGGCUUAACCUGGGAACUGCGCCGGAAACUGGCAGACUAGAGUGCGGGAGAGGGGUGUGGAAUUUCCGGUGUAGCAGUGAAAUGCGUAGAGAUCGGAAGGAACACCAGUGGCGAAGGCGACACCCUGGACCGACACUGACGCU
rnacentral:rRNA from 1 species